rnacentral:rRNA from 1 species
AUUGAACGCUGGCGGCAGGCCUAACACAUGCAAGUCGAGCGAGUGGCGGACGGGUGAGUAAUGUCUGGGAAACUGCCUGAUAGAGGGGGAUAACUACUGGAAACGGUGGCUAAUACCGCAUACUAUCAGAUGUGCCCAGAUGGGAUUAGCUAGUAGGUGGGGUAAAGGCUCACCUAGGCGACGAUCCCUAGCUGGUCUGAGAGGAUGAUCAUCCACACUGGGACUGAGACACGGUCCAGACUCCUACGGGAGGCAGCAGUGUGGAAUAUUGCACAAUGGGCGCAAGCCUGAUGCAGCCAUGCCGCGUGUAUGAAGAAGGCCUUCGGGUUUUAAAGUACUUUCAGCGGGGAGGCGUUACCCGCAGAAGAAGCACCGGCUAACUCCGUGCCAGCAGCCGCGAUAAUUC